rnacentral:rRNA from 1 species
GACGAACGCUGGCGGCGUGCCUAAUACAUGCAAGUAGAACGCUGAAGGAGGAGCUUGCUUCUCUGGAUGAGUUGCGAACGGGUGAGUAACGCGUAGGUAACCUGCCUGGUAGCGGGGGAUAACUAUUGGAAACGAUAGCUAAUACCGCAUAAUAGUAGAUGUCGCAUGACAUUUGCUUAAAAGGUGCAAUUGCAUCACUACCAGAUGGACCUGCGUUGUAUUAGCUAGUUGGUGAGGUAACGGCUCACCAAGGCAACGAUACAUAGCCGACCUGAGAGGGGGAUCGGCCACACUGGGACUGGGACACGGCCCAGACUCCUACGGGAGGCAGCAGUAGGGGAACUUCGGCAAUGGACGGAAGUCUGACCGAGCAACGCCGCGUGAGUGAAGAAGGGUUUCGGAUCGUAAAGCUCUGUUGUAAGAGAAGAACGAGUGUGAGAGUGGAAAGUUCACACUGUGACGGUAUCUUACCAGAAAGGGACGGCUAACUACGUG